CGCUGGCGGCAUGCCUUACACAUGCAAGUCGAACGGCAGCAACGGGAGCAAUCCUCGGUGGCGAGUGGCGAACGGGUGAGUAAUAUAUCGGAAACGUGCCCAGUCGUGGGGGAUAACGUAGCGAAAGCUACGCUAAUACCGCAUACGAUCUAUGGAUGAAAGCGGGGGAUCGCAAGACCUCGCGCGAUUGGAGCGGCCGAUAUCAGAUUAGGUAGUUGGUGAGGUAAAGGCUCACCAAGCCGACGAUCUGUAGCUGGUCUGAGAGGACGACCAGCCACACUGGGACUGAGACACGGCCCAGACUCCUACGGGAGGCAGCAGUGGGAAUUUUGGACAAUGGGCGCAAGCCUGAUCCAGCAAUGCCGCGUGCAGGAUGAAGGCCUUCGGGUUGUAAACUGCUUUGUACGGAACGAAACGGUGAGCUCUAAUACAGUUUGCUAAUGACGGUACCGUAAGAAUAAGCACCGGCUAACUACGUG
rnacentral:rRNA from 1 species